CCCUACGCACCCACAGCCGCCGCCCUCUCCCUCCCUCAGAUCUUGAUCUCGAUCUCGCUCCCUUCCACGACGACCCCUUCCUCAGCUUCGCCGACGGCCGGGCCCAGUGGCCGACGCCCACGUCUCCGGGGGCGGCGGCGACGACUUCCCGUCCUCCCCCGACCCCUACGCCUUCCGCCACGACUCCGCCGCCGCCGCUUCCGCUCACUUAGGCCGCCGCCCCUCGUCCCGAUCCCCUUCCUCCAACCCACCCCACGACCGCCGGCCAACUCCGGCGAUCCCCGGCGCCCAGGAACCCCAUCUCCACCGGGUCCUCGCCGCAUCAUGCGCGACGACCCACUCACCCGUGGCCAUCCAAUCCAACCGUAGCAGCCGGGAGGGCGGCGCCGGCGGCGGCGGUCUGCACUGAUGCAGCAGCCUCCUGGCCGUGGCAUUGUGCCGGCCGCAAACCCCAGGGCUCGGCACGGCUGCGGCCGUGGUCGCUUCCUCCUCCUCCGGCCCAUCUCCGGUCCGGUCCAAUCCAAUCCAAUCCAAGGUCAUGGAGCGAGCCAAGGCGCAGCUGCGUCCGGCUGCGUGCUUCUUCUCAUCCUGGUGCGUACCAUGGUGAGAAGACAAGGCAGAGGCAGGUGCUCCCGAUGGAUGGACGCCGGCGAUUGAGGCUGCUCACUUAGGCUGCGUUUGAUUCGAGUCCAGAUAACUAGUGUAUGCGCCUGCUUGUGCGGACUGAUGGCGAAUGCAAGUGCGUGCACAAUGAUGAUCCUCUGGCCACCUACAAUAAGCUACUCACUGAGGUGUCCAAGUACAAGCAGACCACGCCCUAGAUAGACUGGGAUGAUUCUGCACCAAGUCGGUCUUGUUGGGCACGAUCCUGUUAUGGAGAAGCUUAAGAUUUCUGACACCAUUGCUCCUAUGUUCUCUGGAGAUGUUGGCAUGGCUGACCUGUUGGUGGGACCAGAUUGUGUCUGCUUCUGCCGGUGCAGGAGCUUCUUCCCCUGCGCCUCUGUUGUCCGCAUGUCUAGUUGAUUGAUUCUGCUCGCUUCCUGCUAAAUCGUUCAGACUUUGUAGCGCUCAUGAGCCUUUUAUGUUGCGCCUAUGCUUGAUCUAUGAAGUGAUACAUCUGAAAUUUCCUACAUAUCUUAGUUGUUGGGCCUAGUA